rnacentral:rRNA from 1 species
UACGUAGGGUGCGAGCGUUGUCCGGAAUUAUUGGGCGUAAAGGGCUCGUAGGCGGUUUGUCGCGUCGGGAGUGAAAACCCAGGGCUUAACCCUGGGCUGGCUUCCGAUACGGGCAGACUAGAGGUAUGCAGGGGAGAACGGAAUUCCUGGUGUAGCGGUGAAAUGCGUAGAUAUCAGGAGGAACACCUGCGGUGUAGACGGCUUACUGGACGGUAACUGACGCUGAGGCACGAAAGCGUGGGUAGCAAACAGG